rnacentral:rRNA from 1 species
UACGUAGGGUGCGAGCGUUAAUCGGAAUUACUGGGCGUAAAGCGUGCGCAGGCGGUUCGUUGUGUCGGCGGUGAAAGCCCCGGGCUCAACCUGGGAAUGGCCGUUGAAACUGGCGAACUGGAGUGUGGCAGAGGGGGGUGGAAUUCCGCGUGUAGCAGUGAAAUGCGUAGAUAUGCGGAGGAACACCGAUGGCGAAGGCAAUCCCCUGGGCCUGCACUGACGCUCAUGCACGGAAAGCGUGGGGGAGCAAACAGG